rnacentral:rRNA from 1 species
GAGGGGUGCAAGCGUUACUCGGAAUUACUGGGCGUAAAGCGUGCGUAGGUGGUGGUUUAAGUCUGCUGUGAAAGCCCUGGGCUCAACCUGGGAAUUGCAGUGGAUACUGGGUCACUAGAGUGUGGUAGAGGGAUGCGGAAUUUCCGGUGUAGCAGUGAAAUGCGUAGAGAUCGGAAGGAACAUCCGUGGCGAAGGCGGCAUCCUGGGCCAACACUGACACUGAGGCACGAAAGCGUGGGGGAGCAAACAGGAUUAGAUACCCUGGUAGUCCACGCCCUAAACGAUGCGAACUGGAUGUUGGGUGCAACUUGGCACCCAGUAUCGAAGCUAACGCGUUAAGUUCGCCGCCUGGGAGUACGGUCGCAAGACUG